UGAACACAAUAAACAUAACAAUAAUAUUCAAUAAAUAAGGAUUUGAGUCACUGGAAUACUUUUUCAUCAAUACCACAUACACUCUAAAUCUAACAAAGCUUACCUGAUGUCUUGUCAUACAAGAAAAUUGGUAUAACUUUCAUGAGCAAAAGGUAUAUUUAAAGAUUCUAAGAAAAAAUAAUCCUCAAUCUGUGGUUUGUCUUCUAAACUUUACACUAAAUUCCAUUGUUCUUUUCUGCAGGAGAAACAUCUAAUCACUUUUUAAUGACAACCAUUAGUUAUUUCUCAAACCUCUUUAGUUACUUUACAUUGAUGUAAAUAGUUAUAAUCUUCUCUAUCAAAUGGCAUUUACUCUUUGCCUGUAGCUCCAUCAGUAGAUGUUCUCACCCAUUUAUGACCUCAUAGCAUGUGAUAACAAAUCUUUAGACAGAGAAAGCAAACCACAAGAGAAAUAUGUCUUGGAUAGUUAUAAUUUAAAGGGAUGAUAGUUUAUUAAUAAAUAAAGACAUAAAAAUUAGGAUUUGGAAUAGGCAGUAAAAUUAUAAAACCCAAUCAGUGUAUUAUUUACAGGCAAGACUCCUCAGAGCUGUGCAAAAAUGUGUGCCCUUGACACCUGAAAGAUGAUCACAGGUUAGGAUAGGAUUAAAGACAAAGUGGAAGAUUUAAUAUUCUGUUUCUUGGAUUUUGUCACUUGUCAUUGACCCCUGCCUAAGCUGUAUUACAAGUAAUGACGUGGGAAGAUAGCAGUGAUGUCUAGAAAUAAAAAGUUGCCUUUCCUAUCAGCAAACCACUUAAUGACUCGGGGAUUUUGCCCAGCCUAAUACUGGAACACGAGUGAAUGGAGAUCAUAUGCAGGGUAGUGUUUUAAUAUGCAAACCUGGCUAAGUUCUUGUUGUAUGUUUCGUAUUAAAAAUGUGUAUCCUAUGUUUAGCAGAUUUUUCAGAGAUUUUGCUGAACUUUUUGAAGUUCGAUUUGACAUUAUACAUAUAAUUCAAUUUAACUGAAUCAAGAUUUUGGUAAAGUUUUUCAUUUAACUGUUCUUUAACACUUUUGUGAGAUUUUUUACUCUUAUUAUAACUUACAAUGCAAGACAUUGUUUAAUUUCAAUUUAACUUUGGGGCUUGAAUUAAAUAUUACAUGACUCUAGUUUAACUUAGGUAGGCACAUCUUGGCUGAUGAGACAGAACCUACUAAGGUUUCAUUUCCUUUCUCUCUUUCUUGCCAUUCCAACACAGCCACAGCAGACAAACUUGCCUUUGCUUUACUGCUGUGUUUGUGAUUGCAAUUUUUCUUACUUGUAAAUAAAGAUUGUUUAUGUA